GUGAGCCACAAUGGAUGCAAGAUGAUGAAGCUCCAAUUGGAAAGGAAGAAUAUGUUCACAGUAGAUGAGAGUGUGGCAGCUGUUUUAGGUCCUCGACUACUGCAUGGAUGUUUUCUGUAGCAUCAGCUCUGUUGCCACUCCUCACCAUUCAUCUGCAAAAGCUGCACAUACCUGACUCACCUGCCCUUUUUUAGGGUGACUUCAGUGGUUUGCAGAUGAACAGCAAAAGUGGAAAUCAGAAUAUAUCAAUACAUUGCCUUUCUCAAGGCACUGUAGUUGCAGACGAGAUCCCAGGAGAUGCAGAGGGCACUAUGAGGAGGAAAGGAUAUAUGGGCAC
rnacentral:lncRNA from 1 species